GGGUCGAUGAUGAGAACUCAUUGUCUUGAAAGGAGAUGAUCUAAAAAUCAGACAUUAGGGUUAUCUGAGACCU
ensembl:snoRNA SNORD115 Small nucleolar RNA SNORD115